rnacentral:lncRNA from 1 species
CGUGGAUUUAUUGCCACUAAAUCUUCUGUGCACACGGUGAGAGGCUCAGGCUGAGGAGUAACAAUCCCAGCUCUGUGCUGGUUCACAUGAGCAGAACUGGCGGGCCGUGGCAGGCACGUCCCGCAGAGGAUUGCUUGUCCAUGCUCUGAUUGCCCACUGUAUGUGGUGGUGCCACGAGUCUUACCCACGUUUGUCCGGUGACACGCUUCCGCCGGGCGUGGGAAAUGCCAACACUGUGUCAGCGACACUCACAUUUCUCAUUGCGCUCUCUUUGUCAGAUGAGGACAUGCUUAUCCUAACAGGUCUCCUGUGAACUUUGGACCAAACUUUUGUGAGAACUCUGUCACUGAACCUGUUACUUACCUGCCCUUCUUUCUUUUUGGACAAGGUGUUUUGCUAUUCCUUUCCCCAUUUGCCACUUAUCAAAAGCAAGGUGAUAACCAUCUUCUCUGUUUGACGAGGCGCAUCAUAUUUCAAUCUAGCUGUGGAGAAAAUCCCUUUCUUCCUGGAAAGCAGGCAACCUGAAUUGCAAGAGGUUGGACCCCGUGGCCUCUUUGCAAGAUCCUUUCUGCAUUCUAAAUGCCAAGGAUGCUUCUGUGAGGAGGAUCUGUGAGGGUACCGCCUGGCUGGAGUGGAGCCCUUUUUGUUUGGAUGCAGACCAUGUGCUUCCACCAGAGUUUGAUGUUUUUAGGUAUCAAAGGAAGGUCUCCAGGAACCCUGCAACUAAAGACUUUAAUGAGGACCAUGCCCAAGAAAUCCUGGCUGCCAAAGACAUGACGAUGAUUUAUGUCGCUCACUCACUCCCUAACAGCAAGAGGACUAUUUGUAAAAAUUAAAAAGCUGCUCAUAUGGAAUUAAACAAGAGCAUAGCUGCUUCCUUCCAGACCCCGGAGCUUAACAAAGAGAAUCCA